GAUGAGAGAGACAUUUUUUUCUACACUUCACUUGUGUAUAAUAAUUUAAAUUUUUACUUACUUAUAUCUUACUUCUUGUAUUUCUUCAAUAGGUUAUAGGACCUCAUAUACUUUAUUGUGUCAUUCAAGUAAGUUGAUAUCAUUUUUUAGUAGUUGUACUUGUAUGGAAUAGAUCUUAUGGUGUUUACUCAUAUUAGGAUUUGUAAGAUCUAAACUUGUAUUUUGGCAUAAGGAGGUAUUGAUUUCGACCUUAUAGAUCUUUAACAUUAUUUUGUGGAUUCUUAAUUCCUAGGAUUGCAAGUUUAAGACCUUAUAGAAAGACCUUGACAAUGUCUUUUUGUGUUGUUGAAGUAAUUUUACUUAUAUAUAUUGUGAAGUAGUUGAUUUAAAAGAGUAGAAGAUCUUAAUAAUAAGAUUCUUUAGAGUGCACAUACUUGUUAGAAGCUUUAAAACUUGAUUUGAGAAUAUUUUGAGUGAAAAAGUACUCCAUUAUUCACAAGAGGAUAUUUUGAGAUUUAACUAGUGUCAAAUUGAUUUGGUAAUUUUGAAUACAUAGAAACUUCUUUUUUUAAUAGUCUUUUAUAGAACUCUU
rnacentral:lncRNA from 1 species